UACACUCCUGCGGGAGGCAGCAGUGGGGAAUAUUGGCCAAUGGGCGCAAGCCUGAUCCAGCCAUGCCGCGUGAGUGAUGAAGGCCCUAGGGUUGUAAAGCUCUUUCACCGGUGAAGAUAAUGACGGUAACCGGAGAAGAAGCCCCGGCUAACUUCGUGCCAGCAGCCGCGGUAAUACGAAGGGGGCUAGCGUUGUUCGGAUUUACUGGGCGUAAAGCGCACGUAGGCGGACUAUUAAGUCAGGGGUGAAAUCCCGGGGCUCAACCCCGGAACUGCCUUUGAUACUGGUAGUCUUGAGUUCGAGAGAGGUGAGUGGAAUUCCGAGUGUAGAGGUGAAAUUCGUAGAUAUUCGGAGGAACACCAGUGGCGAAGGCGGCUCACUGGCUCGAUACUGACGCUGAGGUGCGAAAGCGUGGGGAGCAAACAGGAUUAGAUACCCCUGUAGUCCCAUGA
rnacentral:rRNA from 1 species